CAGCACUGAUCAGACCCAAAGCUCAGUUUCUUCUCAGUCUCAUUUUUCUACCUUUCCUGUAAUUCGCCGUGUGCUGCCGUGGCUCGCAGGAGACCAGGACUCACUGCAGAGGUUCUGGUGGGAUCAUAAAUCCAGUCCCUAUUACUCCAUGCUCUAAGCAGCAGCAGCAGCAGCAGCAGGAGAAGAAAAAGAAGAGGAAGCAGCAGCAGCAGCAGCUCUAUUUUGGUCCUGGACUUAGGAGAGAGAAUGUCAAAAGAUGCAGAAGUUCCAGAUAUGGAUGGGCAACUGCACAGUCUUCUGUGACUCGCAUGAAACAAGAUCUGUUAAUAGUUUAUAUAUACAUUCUUCCUUCCAUGACUUAGAAGUUGUUUGUAGUUUUCUCCCUCUAUGGUUAACACAAACACUGUGUGCAUUAUCUAUGUAGAAAUUUUGCCUGUUAUACAUACCGAGGAAUGGAAGUGCUAGCUUUUUAUUCACUCUUUAGUUUAAUUCUCUCUACUAAAAUUAUUACUGAAGUUGCCAAUGAGUUUCUAAUUGCUAGAUAUAAUAUUCAUUUUUGCUGCAUCUCAUAUUAUUGAUAUUAUCAACCCCCUUUCUCCUUCUUCAUUCUCUUUUUUGAAAUUUGUAUCAUUUAUAAU
ensembl:lncRNA